rnacentral:rRNA from 1 species
UACGUAGGUGGCAAGCGUUGUCCGGAUUUACUGGGCGUAAAGAGCGCGCAGGCGGUCGUUCAAGUCGCGUGUGAAAGCCCCCGGCUCAACUGGGGAGGGUCACGCGAUACUGAUCGACUCGAAGGCAGGAGAGGGAAGCGGAAUUCCCGGUGUAGUGGUGAAAUGCGCAGAUAUCAGGAGGAACACCGGUGGCGAAGGCGGUUCUCUGGGCAUUACCUGACGCUGAGGAGCGAAAGUGUGGGGAGCGAACAGG